rnacentral:rRNA from 1 species
UACGGGGGGGGCAAGCGUUGUUCGGAAUUACUGGGCGUAAAGGGCCAAGUAGGCGGCCAACUAAGUCGGAUGUGAAAUCCCCAGGCUUAACCUGGGAAACUCGCAUCCGAUAACUGGAUGGCUUGAAUUCGGGAGAGGGAUGCAGAAUUCCGGGGUGGUAGCGGUGGAAUGCGUAGAGAUCCGGAAGAACACCGGUGGCGAAGCGGCCUGCUGGGCAGUUAGCUGACACUGAGGCGCGACACGUGGGGAGCAAACAGG